UCGUGGAUGCACCAAGAUAAACCAGCCACCCCUAGUUACAUAGUUCUUCACGCUCCCGAAAUUCGAAUCUUACUUCAUGUCAUAAGGUAUUAAGAUUUACUUUUAUUUUAUUAUUUCUAUUUAAUAGUGGAUUUAAUUGGGUUCUAGAAAUCAUAUAGUUUCAUUUAAUCGUUAAGAAGUUUAAUUUAUUGUUCCUGUACAUGUCUUUGUAUAUAUAGUAUGCAAAUAUAUAUUUUCUUCACACCAUCCAUUUCUUCGUUGUUCUUGUGCCAAUUAUUAAUAAUUAAUUAUUGUUUCAUUACCUGAUUUCUACUACUUGGCUGAUGUGGUCAUCUAUUUGGUUAUAUAUAGGUAAAGUUUGUGUAAUAAUUUACUAUAGUGACAGAGAUUAAUAAGUUGUUCUUAAACACAUCUUUUAAUUAGGUUAUAGAGACUGUUGCUUUAAAAUCUACCUAGAGAGUAUAUGUGAAUAUUUAGUUUUCCUCAUCAAGAUUUUAAACAAGAUACUCAUGUUGAAGUCCAUCAAAAGAAUCCUUGAAAAAAAUAAGUAAUUCUUAUCUAUAUUAAUUAUUUAUUUCUUACUUAAAUUCAUCUGCUAAGAUUAACACAAACAUAACCAAAUCAACUUGAUUCUUAUUGUACCCGUUGUUAAAUUUUAAAACUAUUUGCACAUGUAGUGGAAUUGAUAUAGAUUUAUUUCUGUGAAAUUUUGUGAACAUUAGAUAAAGAGUGUGGUCCUAAUUGCUAAUUAUGAGAUUGUUUCGCGCAGGUUAAGUCGCUAACAAUUAAAAAGGAUCAGACGAUUGUGUAAGGGACGAAACCUCUUGAGACAAAGUCCCAAAAAGGGGUGUUCUUUUAUUGGCGAUGAACUUUACAAUUGGGAAUGAAAAACAACAUGCCUCCAAGGGGCGCAAGCACACGAGUUACAGAAAGAAAAAUGUUUAAGUCCAAAAGCUAAGGAAAUGAAAAUUACAUAUUCUCUAUUCGAGAGUUUUGGAUUCCUCUUUUGCUUCUGCGUCCUUUCUCCCUUUUAUACCUCAUAGACGAUCUCUUUAUGAUUAACUACCCUAAAAACUGCUUGAUCGUUCUAUAACUACCCACUUUCUUUGUAGUGGCCAUUUUGUCAUGAAACUGCCUUUUAACUGCUGCCAUUAUCUUUCAUCGUUCAACUGCUUUCGAUUGAAUUCCUUGAGUCGUGGAACGUGAUAAGGCUACUUUAACAACUGCCUUGAUAACUGCAUUCCUUGAUAACCACGAUGCGUUAUAUUUGUUGAUACCUUGGGCGACUUGAAGGUUUGGGCGAGAGUAGAAUAACAGCUCUGGGCGACCGUAUGACACUCCAUUCAUUCAGAUUCUGGGCGACUUGCAAACUUGGGCGAUGGCGUUACCGCAUUCUUGGGCCCCUUAUUUGGGCCUUCUCCUUGAUUCGUUCGAUUGGACUUCGUUCUUUGGGCUAUCCGAUUUGGGGUCCUUCAAUUGGGCUUUACUCCUUGGGCUGUUCGAUUUGGGCUGAAUUUUUAUGUGUCAACAGAGAUCUAAUCACACGUUAACAUGACUUUUCUAUUGAUUCUUGUCGUCCUUGUAUUUGUCUCUCUUUAAUGACUUCUUCUUUUCGCCUAUACUUCGUAAGCAUCUUGCUGUAAGUUCAUUAUCAUAAGGUGGUGGUAUCGAAGAUAAUAUAAAUUCAACUCUUAC
rnacentral:lncRNA from 1 species